GCGGACGUGGUGGAAUUGGUAUACACGCCAGCCUUAGGAGCUGGUGCCGCAAGGCAUGAGAGUUCAAGUCUCUCCGUCCGCA
rnacentral:tRNA from 1 species